rnacentral:lncRNA from 1 species
GGGGGUAGAAGGCAGUGGAGAUCCAUCCGCCUCCUUCCUCCUCUUCAUUCAUGUGAUAAAAUUGGCACUGACAGAUAAAGUCAAGCUGUUGGCUUUCUCAGCUGAGAUUAAAAAUAUUUCUUUAACUUUUAUCAACAACAAGAAUCAAGUCAAAAUACCUCUAAAUACAAAAGAAAAGAAGCGACCGCUUUCAAACCAGCUGCUAAAUAUGGUUUUAGCCCUGGAAAGUCAUCACCAGACCCCCGUGACAGAGAUGACACGUGGCCGGCAGAAGACCCACAGCGUGUCAGGAGCUGGGCCAGGACCGAACCCAAGCAGCCGUCUAGCUCCAGAGAGCCACUCUUGGCCUUAAAGCCCCUUGUCCCCGCAGCAGUCAGCAGUGAGUCCGGCAGCCUGCAGUGGUCUCCGAGCCUCACGAUGCUGCCCCGCAUGCUCAGCCUGUGGCCAUUUAAUGUCCUCACUCAAGCCUUUGUCUGCCUGUGUCACCGCCUGCAUCCAGCUGCGUCCCCAGCUUCCCUCUGGGCUCCUCUGUUCCCACACGCUGCGGCAGGCCCUCUUCCCUUCUCCCUCUCCCUCAUGCUUCUCAGCCCCCUGAGCGAUCAAUUAUUUACCAAGCACUUAUCCCG